UACGGAGGGGGCUAGCGUUGUUCGGAAUUACUGGGCGUAAAGCGCGCGUAGGCGGACCUGCAAGACGGGGGUGAAAGCCCGAGGCUCAACCUCGGAACUGCCUUCGAUACUGCGGGUCUCGAGUCCGGGAGAGGUGAGUGGAAUUCCUAGUGUAGAGGUGAAAUUCGUAGAUAUUAGGAAGAACACCAGUGGCGAAGGCGGCUCACUGGCCCGGUACUGACGCUGAGGCGCGAAAGCGUGGGGAGCAAACAGG
rnacentral:rRNA from 1 species